UGAACGCUGGCGGUAGGCCUAACACAUGCAAGUCGAACGGCAGCACAGUAAGAGCUUGCUCUUACGGGUGGCGAGUGGCGGACGGGUGAGGAAUACAUCGGAAUCUACUUUUUCGUGGGGGAUAACGUAGGGAAACUUACGCUAAUACCGCAUACGACCUACGGGUGAAAGCAGGGGAUCUUCGGACCUUGCGCGAUUGAAUGAGCCGAUGUCGGAUUAGCUAGUUGGCGGGGUAAAGGCCCACCAAGGCGACGAUCCGUAGCUGGUCUGAGAGGAUGAUCAGCCACACUGGAACUGAGACAUGGUCCAGACUCCUACGGGAGGCAGCAGUGGGGAAUAUUGGACAAUGGGCGCAAGCCUGAUCCAGCCAUACCGCGUGGGUGAAGAAGGCCUUCGGGUUGUAAAGCCCUUUUGUUGGGAAAGAAAAGCAGCAGGUUAAUACCCCGCUGUUCUGACGGUACCCAAAGAAUAAGCACCGGCUAACUUCGUG
rnacentral:rRNA from 1 species